UACGAGGGGUGCGAGUGUUAUUCAGAACCAUUGGGCGUAAAAUGCAUGUAGAUUGUUAAUAAAGUUCAAAUGUGUUGACUCUGUCAAAAUCAGGGCAAAAUUUGAAAACUAAUUAACUAGAGUCUUUUAAAGAAUAAUAGAAUUUCUAGAGAAAGGGUUAAAUCUAUAGAUCCUAGAAAGAAUGUCAAUGGCCAAGGCAGUUAUUUAGAAAAUGACUGACAUUAAUAUGCGAAAGCGUGGGGAUCAAACAGG
rnacentral:rRNA from 1 species